rfam:Gossypium hirsutum cultivar TM-1 unplaced genomic scaffold scaffold1080.1, whole genome shotgun sequence
AACCCAUGGUGAGGGCACCUUCUUAAUAAAUCUUUGUAUCUCUCCUAUGCAUCAUAAAGUAUUUCUAAAUCAAUCUACACAAAAGAAGAGAUAUCAUUCAUCAAUUU